rnacentral:lncRNA from 1 species
CAAUAUUGCUUUCGUUUUAUGUCAGAUUUAGAAAACAAAAUUUUGAUUUUAUUUCAUAGUUUGAGAUUGGGCUUUGGAUUGAUGUAAGAAGUUUAUCAUCAACCAAAUUAGAAACUUGAAUUUAGAAAGCUACAACGCCUAAAAUGUUUGGUUUUCCCAAUCUUUUGAUUCAAAAAGUUCUCUUUUGCUGAUCGCUACUUCUUGAAUCCAAAGAUUGGUUUCAAGCGCUCAAACUCUCUGUUAAGGUACAGAAUAAGGAUAAUGGAGGUUUAGGAUUGAAGGAUCUGUCUUUGCUUAACUUAGCAUUGAAAUUGGCUUGGAGACCUUUAUGUAGGUGAAGAUCUGAAUUCAACUUGUGGUCAGAUCCAUGAGUUCCAGACAAACCUCUUUAUGUCAUGGACUCAUGGCACCUUUAACUAUGCAAGUGCUUUGGUCAUUUGGCAGCACAAAACCAUUAACUCUGUAUUGAUUACAUGGAAUAUAAUACACUGUAUGUCAACGCAGCCUGCAGGUAUAGGUUGCAUAGUUGGUGCCUCUUCAGUUCAAGUGGUUAAACUUUUGGGUGACAAUUUCGGAGGUUUGGGUUUUACUGAUAUCAUUAAAAAUUGUAGGUUACUGAUGAUAUCUCCAAAUUGUUCCAAUUUCUAAAUCUUAAGUUGUUAAACAAUGCAGCAGAAAAUAUCAAAUAAGCAGAAAAAUUAAAAACCCACAUUCAAUCCCUAAUUUAACAGCAAACAAACAAACAAACAAAAAAACCCUAAACCAAUAAAAUAAAAUUGAAAAAGAGUUAGGCUUUCAGAAAGAUUAUAUCAUCAUUAAGCUUGAGAAGUAGAGAAAAAAAAGAGAGAAAAGAGAUGGGGUUGGAAGAGAAAGUGUGUCGAAGAGAGAAGAAGAAGAUUCGAGCAGCAUUUUUAGAUUCAGAUUGAAAACUAAUAACCAUCACAAUCCUCUCAACCAACCAAAGAGAAGGAGGAUUUACUCUGUUUUCUUUUCCACAUGUUUGCCGCUUCCAGAAUCUUCUUUCUUGUUUUUCCCUUUCAUCUUCUUCCUCCAAUUUCUUUCCUCCAACAUCCAAUCCCUUUCUCUACUGUCUGUUUGCUGGACGCACAACCAUAAGUAUUAAGUACUGUAAUUCUCUCUUAACAAACCAUAGCCCAUAUAAGAUGAUCCA